GACGAACGCUGGCGGCGUGCUUAACACAUGCAAGUCGAACCGAAAGGCCCCUUUGGGGGUCCUCGAGUGGCGAACGGGUGAGUAACACGUGAGUAACCUGCCCUUGACUUCGGGAUAACUUCAGGAAACUGGGGCUAAUACCGGAUAGGAAUCCUUGCUGCAUGGUGGGGGUUGGAAAGCUUCGGCGGUUUUGGAUGGACUCGCGGCUUAUCAGCUUGUUGGUGGGGUAGUGGCUUACCAAGGCUUUGACGGGUAGCCGGCCUGAGAGGGCGACCGGCCACAUUGGGACUGAGAUACGGCCCAGACUCCUACGGGAGGCAGCAGUGGGGAAUAUUGCACAAUGGGCGGAAGCCUGAUGCAGCAACGCCGCGUGCGGGAUGACGGCCUUCGGGUUGUAAACCGCUUUCAGCAGGGGCGAAGCUUGUGGUGACGGUACCUGCAGAAGAAGCACCGGCUAACUACGUG
rnacentral:rRNA from 1 species